rnacentral:rRNA from 1 species
AGAGUGAACGCUGGCGGCAGGCCUAACACAUGCAAGUCGAGCGGCAGCGCAGCAGUAGCAAUACUGUGGGCGGCGAGCGGCGGACGGGUGAGGAAUACAUCGGAAUCUACCUUCUUGUGGGGGAUAACGUAGGGAAACUUACGCUAAUACCGCAUAAGACCUGAGGGUGAAAGCAGGGGACCGCAAGGCCUUGCGCGAGAAGAUGAGCCGAUGUCCGAUUAGCUAGUUGGUGAGGUAAAGGCUCACCGAAGGCGACGAUCGGUAGCUGGUCUGGAGAGGAUGAUCAGCCACACGUGGAACUGAGACACGGUCCAAGACCUCCGUACGGGAGGCAGCCAGGUAGGGGAAUUAGUAGGAACAAGUGGGCGACAAGGUCCUGAUCCGAGCCAGUCGGCCGUCGUGUGAGAACGGAGGUCCGUUAGGUUAGUAA